UCGUGCUGAUGAAAGAAGGCGGAGAGUCACGCAAUACGGCUGAGUAUAACUUUAUUUCCUUGACAUGAAUGGGGGCGAAUAUUUUAUGUGUCAGUAGCAAUUUGACACAGAAGUUACGUCUAAGCCAAUGACAAGCUAAUCCACACGUUUGUCUAGCAGCAGGAGGAGAAAAGUGAGCCGUCUUGGCACCGUGCUUAUUUAGAUAACACAUGUGGAGCUGGUUAUGAGAGAGAGAGAGAGAGAGAGAGAGAGAGAGAGAGAGAGAGAGAGAGAGAGAGAGAGCACGAGCACUUUCCGUUACACAGAGCUGAGUGUGAACCUGGUGUUUAAAAGACGUAACAGCCAAUCAGAUUAAAACACCGCGGCCUCACGAGCCAGGGCCGGCCAAUCAAACGCGGCAAAUUAAUAAAAAAUAAACAAAACAUGUCCCGAUAGAGGAACGGUUUCUUUUCUUUCUUUCUUUCCUUCCUUUUUUUCUUCUUCUUUCUUUAUAAAGCUUUAUUUUCCUGCUGAAUUUCAUGUCAGUUCAGUGUUAAGACAAGCUGGCAUAAACAAAAGAACAUUUUGGAUUCAAAGCUUGCGGUUUCUCGUCACCUCCAAAUUGUGACCACAAGCGAUGUCGAAAGAGAAAACCCGGCAGAGAUACGAGCACCAGUCAUCCUUCACCUCACAGACAGCAGGGCAGGACAGACCACAGCUCGAAAGACAUAACUCAGAAGAAAUGCCGAGUGUGUCUCGCGUCUCCGAGCUUGUAGCGCAUCUCGCUAGAUGCUAACUGGCGGAAAGGUUCUGUGCGAUCUCCGAGGAGAAGGGAUUUAUGAUGUGUGCAGCUGUGUUAGUGGACUGUACCGCUGCUCUGGAAUGUGCUGUCUGGGUUUUACAGUGUCACAGGGGGAUGAGCUCAGUGAUCAGCAGAGCUUAAAGCUUGGAAUAAUAAUAAUAAUAGUAAUAAAAAGUAAUAAUAAUUGUCGUCUGUCCAGUUUGGGCCCAGCGUAUAGCCUCGGAUACCUGCUCCUGCCCGACAAGGGUGGAAUCCGACGUGAUCUUCCAUGUAAAGAUUAUUUAGCCUUCCUGUCAACUCCAACUGUCCUCAACAAGCCCACAGACUCGAACUAGGGUUUUAUUUUUUGCCCCACUCUGUGUAAACUCUACACACUUCUAUGCAUGAACAUAUCAUCAGUGAUCAUCUAUUUCUCACUUAAACUGAACGUGCAGGAUUUUACGCACUGGAUGUUUGGAUAAUAGCCUGAAGGAGCAGGUGUACAGGUGUUUCUAUUAAAGUGGCCGUACACCUGGGUGUUUUUGUUUAUGUACGUACCUGCUUACUGACUUAUUGGAGCUGUUUAAAGGCUAAAACGGCGUCAUUUUAAUAUUGGUUGAUUCUUCAAAAAGAUUUUUUUUUUUUGCCACAUGCUGUUAAUAGUAGGUCUGUGUUUCACGUGCGGAUGUGAAAAAGAAAAAAGAAAGAAAGAAAGAAAAUAAGAAAGAAAGAAAGAAAGAAGUUAUGCGGUUUGGCACGCGCUCGGUAUUGCUGAAACCGGAGCGUUCGCUCUGUGCCGCUGUACACGUGCAACUUGUCUGUGUUGCGCGAGCCUCCGGUAGCCGCUCAGUAGCCAUCCGGGAUCUGCUGGUGCGCGCGAGUGUGUGUGUGUGUGUGUGUGUGUGUGUGUGUGUGUGUGUGUGUGUGUGUGUGUGUGAGAGAGAGAGAGAGAGAGAGAGA